rnacentral:lncRNA from 1 species
GACCAAACACUCUCUCAAACACAUAAAUCAGAUAGAAGACAUGGAUCGACAUUCAGACUACAUGACGAAAUACUUGAUCUUUGGAGGUGGAAUUAUACUCAUUGCAAUAGCGGUUUUUCUCCUCAUAAUGAAAUAUUCGAGUCUGAUUUAAAUUGAUCCUUGGAUAAUGCUCUCUUUAAAUGCUGUUUUUCACUUUUUCUUAUACAUAUAUAAUAUAAAAGUUUCUAGUUUGUUA